GAUGAAGAACGCAGCGAAAUGCGAUAAGUAAUGUGAAUUGCAGAAUUCAGUGAAUCAUCGAAUCUUUGAACGCACAUUGCGCCCUCUGGUAUUCCGGGGGGCAUGCCUGUUCGAGCGUCAUUAUAACCACUCAAGCUCUCGCUUGGUAUUGGGGCUCGCGGUUCCGCGGCCCCUAAAAUCAGUGGCGGUGCCUGUCGGCUCUACGCGUAGUAAUACUCCUCGCGAUUGAGUCCGGUAGGUCUACUUGCCAGCAACCCCCAAUUUUUACAGGUUGACCUCGGAUCAGAUAGGAUUACCCGCUGAACUUAAGCAUAUCAAUAAGCGGAGGA
rnacentral:misc_RNA from 1 species